GUGUCAGCAGCCGCGGUAAGACGGAGGGGGCUAGCGUUGUUCGGAAUUACUGGGCGUAAAGCGGGCGUAGGCGGCCGGCUAAGUCGGAUGUGAAAUCCCGGGGCUCAACUCCGGAACUGCAUUCGAUACUGGUCGGCUAGAGUUCGAGAGGGGGAUGCGGAAUUCCGCGUGUAGCAGUGAAAUGCGUAGAUAUGCGGAGGAACACCUGAGGCGAAGGCGGCAUCCUGGAUCGACACUGACGCUGAGGCCCGAAAGCGUGGGGAGCAAACAGGAUUAGAUACCCUGGUAGUCCACGCCCUAAACGAUGUCUACUAGCCGUUGCGGGUAUCGACCCCUGCAGUGGCGCAGCUAACGCGAUAAGUAGACCGCCUGGGGAGUACGGCCGCAAGGUUAAAACUCAAAGGAAUUGACGGGG
rnacentral:rRNA from 1 species